UUAAGGGGCCUUAAUGAAUGCUCAUUCAGAUACCAUCGAAAGGCGUUGGUUGCUAUAGACAGCAGGACGGUGGCCAUGGAAGUCGGAAUCCGCUAAGGAGUGUGUAACAACUCACCUGCCGAAGCAACUAGCCCUUAAAAUGGUAUGGCGCUGAAGCAUUCUCCCGAUACCCGACCGCCGGGGCCGCAUGAGCUGCCGCCACGUCCCAGAGGCGAGGUGAGGUCUCUGAGUCCCGGUGAGUAAGAGGGUCCCAGUGGUGAGCGCUGAAGGGAUCCGGCGUGAGCCGGCCUGGAGCCGCCACUGGUGCAGAUCUUGGUGGUAGUAGCAAAUACUCGAGAGAGACUCCCUUGAAGACCGAUGUGGAGAAGGGUUCCAUGUGAACAUCAGUUGGACAUGGGUUAGUCGCUCCUAAGCCCAAGGCUAAGGCCUGAUCCCAUGCUAGCGGC
rnacentral:rRNA from 1 species